rnacentral:rRNA from 1 species
GUGUCAGCAGCCGCGGUAAUACAGAGGGUGCGAGCGUUAAUCGGAGUUACUGGGCGUAAAGGGCGCGUAGGCGGAUGAUUAAGUGAUAUGUGAAAUCCCUGGGCUUAACCUAGGAACUGCAUGUCAUACUGGUUGUCUGGAGUAUUGUAGAGGGUAGUGGAAUUUCCGGUGUAGCGGUGAAAUGCGUAGAGAUCGGAAGGAACACCAGUGGCGAAGGCGGCUACCUGGACAAAUACUGACGCUGAGGCGCGAAAGCGUGGGGAGCAAACAGGAUUAGAUACCCUAGUAGUCC